rnacentral:rRNA from 1 species
AUUGAACGCUGGCGGCAUGCCUUACACAUGCAAGUCGAACGGCAGCACGGGUGCUUGCACCUGGUGGCGAGUGGCGAACGGGUGAGUAAUACAUCGGAACAUGUCCUGUAGUGGGGGAUAGCCCGGCGAAAGCCGGAUUAAUACCGCAUACGAUCUACGGAUGAAAGCGGGGGCCCUUCGGGCCUCGCGCUAUAGGGUUGGCCGAUAGCUGAUUAGCUAGUUGGUGGGGUAAAGGCCUACCAAGGCGACGAUCAGUAGCUGGUCUGAGAGGACGACCAGCCACACUGGGACUGAGACACGGCCCAGACUCCUACGGGAGGCAGCAGUGGGGAAUUUUGGACAAUGGGCGAAAGCCUGAUCCAGCAAUGCCGCGUGUGUGAAGAAGGCCUUCGGGUUGUAAAGCACUUUUGUCCGGAAAGAAAUCCUUGGCUCUAAUACAGUCGGGGGAUGACGGUACCGGAAGAAUAAGCACCGGCUAAUUACGUG